AGGUCAUCGUGUAUCUUGUCGUGAACUGAGACCUGUCCCGCUAGUUGUGCAGCUCUCUGCUGGGGCAGACCGUGCAGUAGGAAGUCCGAUGGGUCAUAGUUUGGAUCGACGUCCAUACUCUCCUCUGUCGUGUGUGUAACGAUCUACAUACCCCGCCUCGAAGAUGAUCUGUCUCUACAAUGGUGUAAUUCUCUUCUUCACCUCCAAGCCAAGUUCCAAUUGAAUCAAUCUCGGCCUGUUCAAGGGCACGCUCCUGCACAAGUGAAAUGCUCCGCUCCAGCUGUGUCAGGUGGUCUCCAUACUGGAACAAUGCUCAGUGUUACCAACAUGCAGCAGCACAGGAUUCCUAUUCAUUUACUAGAGCUGUUCACAUGUCAUCAUCAUCGUCAUCACUCCCAGUAUUAAAAGGGAACAAGAAUGGCUGAACAUCUGGCAAAUCCCUCAUUUCAUUGAGUAUGGACUCCAGAAUGGUUGACAGUACCACCACUGGAUCCGUGCGUCGCCUGUUUGCUGGUCGCUGUUGACGUUUCAAAUAGUCACAGUGCAUCUCAUUAACUGCACGCCGCUUUUUCCUCGAAUUAACAGCGUCUUUGGGCACUUUAAGCAGCAGAGUUCGGCGCUUCAUUUCUUCAGCAUGCUGGAAAGGUUGGUCUUUCAUUACAGCCACAAUGGGAAGCCAAGAGGACGGCACAAAAUGAUGGGCGCAAUACCUGUUCUCUUGAAAUCAGCACAGAGCUUUAACCUCUUCCUGAUACUGCUCUCAGAAUGAGAAGGAAAUGCUCUUUUAAUAUCGUCCAUCUUUAUCCUGCGAGGCAAGUCUCGGCUCUUCCAGAACAGACGAUAUAUGAAAACCUGAAACAUAUAUUCAGGAUAAAAACAAUUUUAUCUUUAGAUCACAGAUGUGAGACAGAGCUAAUGCUGGCUGAUGGUAUCACGAAGUGGCAGCACUGUGUGAGGCCCAGGAUGUGCAAGAAUUCCAUGCGAGAACCUCUUCAUGGGUGGACGAUGGAAGUUACGCAGUCUCAUCGGACCCAUGUGGGUCUGCACAAAAGGUGCACGCAGCUCUAC